rnacentral:rRNA from 1 species
GAUGAACGCUGGCGGCGUGCCUAAUACAUGCAAGUCGAGCGAACAGACGAGGAGCUUGCUCCUCUGACGUUAGCGGCGGACGGGUGAGUAACACGUGGAUAACCUACCUAUAAGACUGGGAUAACUUUGGGAAACCGGAGCUAAUACCGGAUAAUAUAUUGAACCGCAUGGUUCAAUAGUGAAAGACGGUUUUGCUGUCACUUAUAGAUGGAUCCGCGCCGCAUUAGCUAGUUGGUAAGGUAACGGCUUACCAAGGCGACGAUGCGUAGCCGACCUGAGAGGGUGAUCGGCCACACUGGAACUGAGACACGGUCCAGACUCCUACGGGAGGCAGCAGUAGGGAAUCUUCCGCAAUGGGCGAAAGCCUGACGGAGCAACGCCGCGUGAGUGAUGAAGGUCUUCGGAUCGUAAAACUCUGUUAUUAGGGAAGAACAAAUGUGUAAGUAACUAUGCACGUCUCGACGGUACCUAAUCAGAAAGCCACGGCUAACUACGUG